UCUUUCUAAUGGUUUUUCAUGCCCAAUUUUCUCUGGUAAGUCUCUCCUUAAGUCAGAUAAGGGUGAGAAAAAGUUAUAGUCAAAUUGAAGAUCAAAAUGGUUUGAAUUGCAACAAACUCUAGCCCUUAUCCUAUCUUAUCUAGUUUGUGCGACAAUCAUAAAAGGCCAUAAUUUUGUGCACCAAAAGAAGAGAGCUUUUCACUGUGAGAUACCAGAGAGAAAGAGGAUCGAAAAUCCUUCUUUGGGAUAUGAGGUUUGGGUGGAUUUCCUUCUUCUUUGGCAUGAACGAAAGAGGAGACCGAUCUCCUCUCGGGUGAGCGACCUAGAACUGUUCUAGGAUUCUUGGGUGAGAAAUAAAUCAAAGAGAAGAGAGUCUUCAUCUAUUUUGCUCUACCAUCCAGCAUCCUCUUCUGAUCCAUCUUCGAUAUCAAAAAAGUUUGAGGCGAUCGAAGAAGGAGAUCAAGUCAAAUCUGCCAUCAGAAGCCGACUGUGCGAGCUAACACUCCCGUAGAGGACUGAUCAGUCCGAGGGCUUCUUGUGGACCAUCCGUAGUGGCCGAAUGCUUGUGCGGCUGUGAGCGACCAGAGAAAACUUUCAGAUCUACGUUCUCGAUCAUAGAGUUCGACUAUCCACGCUCAGGUAUUGGGUUCGAAACCCU
rnacentral:lncRNA from 1 species